rnacentral:rRNA from 1 species
AUUGAACGCUGGCGGCAGGCCUAACACAUGCAAGUCGAACGAGUGGCGGACGGGUGAGUAAUGUCUGGGAAACUGCCUGAUGGAGGGGGAUAACUACUGGAAACGGUAGCUAAUACCGCAUACCAUCAGAUGUGCCCAGAUGGGGUUAGCUAGUAGGUGAGGUAACGGCUCCCCUAGUCGAAGAUCCCUAGCUGGUCUGAGCGGAUGACCAGCCACAUUGGAACUGAGACACGGUCCAGGAUCCGACGGGAGGCAGCAGUGGGGAAUAUUGAACAAUGGGCGCAAGCCUGAUGCAGCCAUGCCGCGUGUAUGAAGAAGGCCUUCGGGUUGUAAAGUACUUUCAGCGGUGAGGCGUUACCCGCAGAAGAAGCACCGGCUAACUCCGUGCCAGCCGCCGCGGUAAUUC